UGCUGGGGGAGCGACACGCUUUGAAGAUACGGCGCGGCGAAAAGACAUUCCAAUUCCGACAGUCAUAAUCUGGAAUGCAGAGUCUUUUCCCACUAAACCGCAGACUGAAAGCCUUUGUUCUGCCUUUCCCAUGCUCAUGCAAGAAACUUGUACUCCGGCAAGCAAAGUCAUCAACCGGCUGGACGGAAAAGAAAGACGAAGCGAUGGGAGAUUAUGGGAAAGAGGGGGGCACAGGACGAGGCCUGGGAGAGGAGCAGUGGAUCCCAAAGGAAACGAGGGAAGGGACACAAGGAGGGGCCCAUCAACCUCCUGGUAUUUCAGCUUCAUGUCACGCAAUCGACCAAAGCCCAGUGACAUCUCUCUAAGAGGGGCCACCCAGGCUGGCUGAGUCAGGUCCACGAGCGGCACAAGGUGAACCGGGACUGGAAUGCCCUGCGGUUCAUCCUAAAUGGAGGUGAGGUUCCACUCGUAUCAGCUAGCAGACAGCCACGUCCUGAGUCUCCGCAAACGGCCCGAGUGCUUCCCACGUGUUUCCCACGUGGCUGCACAGCUCAAAGGCUACGAAAUGGAGGGCUGAGACAUUCGCCACCGAACCAGGAAACAGACUUGGAGGCCUCCCACUAUACCGGCCCCCACACCUGACGUGCCAGCUAGUCUGCGCUUACUGGUAAGGAUGGAGACCACCUAGCCGGUACUGGGCAGCUUUCCUCCUCCUGUCGUUCAGCCUGACCUUGCAGAGCAACGCUCCAGUCUAAUGCUAAUACUGAAUUCUGGAAGCUCCCAAACAGAUCCUAAAGCAGCAAGACUUCAGAACCGGGAUGGGUAGGAACCAAACACCCAAAGCUUAAGCAGCCUAAACUUAAGCCUGGAGAGAUCCACCUCAGAGAGCUCCACAGCAGCAUCAGGGCGCUUCAUCACCGCUAACGAGCACUCAGCUUAAUUACUACUAAUUAACAGGCCAAUCCAUUUCUUCAGGGCAGCGCUCCGUCAGCCUGACGUAUCAUAUAAGCGAGCACGAGGCCCAGAUAGACAGUAAUAUUCAUGGAUAGAGCCUUUAGUGAUUAAUGCUGCAUCUCCUGCUUCCCUCAGACAAUACGCUCGCUGUCGUGUUUAUGAGCGCGGCAUGUGGCAGCUGUGAAAUAUUAAGAUGCCGUCUAUUGAAUUAGACCGGCAAACAUUUGCACUAAUCCCCAUUAUAAACAAUUAAACAGACAGAACAAGGCAGCUUGACGGCAGCUCGGGCUCUUGAAUAGGUAUCAUCGUUAUUACGGCAUUCGAGGAACGAGCAGAAGCCCGGAUCUGCGUUGGCGCCGCGAGCUGAAGGACCGAAAAAGGGAUCUGGCAGGGAGGUCUCCGCGGAAAUGCAGCAGGCUCUGGCUGCGAGCUCACGGCACACAUCCUGAUGCCGUCAGCUCGCACGGAAAACACUAACAAUCGUUACAAAUCAGCCGGAGUGAAAAGGUCCGGGCGGUUCAGACGCUAGUCGUCCAUCGGGAUGCCCCUCAGAGGGGCCCUCAGCCAGUGGGGGUCACCACCUGAGAGGCAGGUUGGAGAGGUGGGAAUGCAAUGGCCGGUUUACAGCAGCCGGGGACGCGAUGUGGAGCACCUGAGCCUGUGACACCGUCAUGCAGCUGGGGGCAGGAAGCAUGCC